rnacentral:tRNA from 1 species
GGGGGCAUAGCUCAGCUGGGAGAGCACCUGCUUUGCAAGCAGGGGGUCGUCGGUUCGAUCCCGUCUCGCCUCCACCA